rnacentral:rRNA from 1 species
UACGUAGGGUGCAAGCGUUGUCCGGAAUUAUUGAGCGUAAAGAGCUCGUAGGCGGUUUGUCGCGUCUGCUGUGAAAACUCGGGGCUUAACCCCGGGCCUGCAGUGGGUACGGGCAGACUAGAGUGCGGUAGGGGAGACUGGAAUUCCUGGUGUAGCGGUGAAAUGCGCAGAUAUCAGGAGGAACACCGGUGGCGAAGGCGGGUCUCUGGGCCGAUACUGACGCUGAGGAGCGAAAGCGUGGGGAGCGAACAGG